rnacentral:rRNA from 1 species
UGGUGGGGUGACUUGUCUGCUUAAUUGCGAUAACGAACGAGACCUUAACCUGCUAAAUAGCCCGCAUUGCUCCGGCAGUGCGCUGGCUUCUUAGAGGGACAUUCGGCUCAAGCCGAAGGAAGUUUGAGGCAAUAACA